rnacentral:rRNA from 1 species
GGAUGCGAUCAUACCAGCACUAACA